rfam:Rattus norvegicus chromosome 17, whole genome shotgun sequence.
UCAAAGGCUCUUUUCAGAGCCACCUACCUUUUUAACAAGGGCUUA